rnacentral:rRNA from 1 species
GGUUCAGGAUGAACGCUAGCGACAGGCCUAACACAUGCAAGCGAGGGCAGCACAAGGAGCAAUCUGAGGUGGCGACCGGCGCACGGGUGAGUAACACGUAUGCAACCUGCCUGUAAGCGGGGAAUAACCCGUUGAAAGACGGACUAAUACCGCAUAAUACUAAAUUACUGCAUGGUAAUUUAUUUAAACAUUUAUGGCUUACAGAUGGGCAUGCGCAUGAUUAGCUAGUUGGAGAGGUAACGGCUCCCCAAGGCAACGAUCAUUAGGGGUUCUGAGAGGAAGGUCCCCCACACUGGUACUGAGACACGGACCAGACUCCUACGGGAGGCAGCAGUGAGGAAUAUUGGUCAAUGGACGAGAGUCUGAACCAGCCAAGUCGCGUGCAGGAAGAAUGUUCCCUAUGGAUUGUAAACUGCUUUUGCAGGGGAAUAAAGUGCAUCACGUGUGAUGUUUUGUAUGUACUCUGCGAAUAAGGAUCGGCUAACUCCGUGCCAGCCGCAGC